GUGACCUCAAAUCAGGUAGGACUACCCGCUGAACUUAAGCAUAUCAAUAAGCGGAGGAAAAGAAACUAACAAGGAUUCCCCUAGUAACUGCGAGUGAAGCGGGAAAAGCUCAAAUUUAAAAUCUGGCAGUCUUUGGCUGUCCGAGUUGUAAUCUAGAGAAGUGUUAUCCGCGCUGGACCGUGUACAAGUCUCCUGGAAUGGAGCGUCACAGAGGGUGAGAAUCCCGUCUUUGACACGGACUGCCAGGGCUUUGUGAUAUGCUCUCAAAGAGUCGAGUUGUUUGGGAAUGCAGCUCAAAAUGGGUGGUAAAUUCCAUCUAAAGCUAAAUAUUGGCGAGAGACCGAUAGCGAACAAGUACCGUGAGGGAAAGAUGAAAAGAACUUUGGAAAGAGAGUUAAACAGUACGUGAAAUUGCUGAAAGGGAAACGCUUGAAGUCAGUCGCGUCGUCCAGGGAUCAACCUUGCUUUUGCUUGGUGCACUUUCUGGUUGACGGGUCAGCAUCAAUUUUGACUAUUGGAAAAAGAUUGGGGGAAUGUGACAUCUUUGGAUGUGUUAUAGCCCUUGGUUGCAUACAAUGGUUGGGAUUGAGGAACUCAGCACGCCGCAAGGCCGGGUUUUUAACCACGUACGUGCUUAGGAUGCUGGCAUAAUGGCUUUAAUCGACCCGUCUUGAAACACGGACCAAGGAGUCUAACAUGCCUGCGAGUGUUUGGGUGGAAAACCCGAGCGCGUAAUGAAAGUGAAAGUUGAGAUCCCUGUCGUGGGGAGCAUCGACGCCCGGACCAGACCUUUUGUGACGGUUCCGCGGUAGAGCAUGUAUGUUGGGACCCGAAAGAUGGUGAACUAUGCCUGAAUAGGGUGAAGCCAGAGGAAACUCUGGUGGAGGCUCGUAGCGAUUCUGACGUGCAAAUCGAUCGUCAAAUUUGGGUAUAGGGGCGAAAGACUAAUCGAACCAUCUAGUAGCUGGUUCCUGCCGA
rnacentral:rRNA from 1 species